GCAUCAAUGGGGUAGUGGUAACCUGGGUCGUUGCCAUCGAGAAUCAGAUAUUGAGAUCUCGACCCGCCGGGGGUUCAAUUCCCUCUUGAUGCA